GGGGGGCAUCAAUGUACGCAGUACGAUGGGGUUACCUUGAGUGCAGUCUGAAAAAGGUUGCUUUUCCAUAGAGUAAUAUCCUAUGGGAAUAAGAGGGGGGCAAGACUGGUGUCAGCCGCCGCGGUAACACCAGCCCCUCGAGUGGUGGGGACUUUUAUUUGGCCUAAAGCGUCCGUAGCUGGCUGUUUCCGUCCCCCGUUAAAUCCAGCGUCUCAAGCGUUGGACUGCGGGUGAUACCAAACAGCUAGAGGGUGGGAGAGGUGAGAGGUACUUCAGGGGUAGGGGUGAAAUCCUGUAAUCC
rnacentral:rRNA from 1 species